rnacentral:rRNA from 1 species
GACGAACGUUGGCGGCGUGCCUAACACAUGCAAGUCGAACGGAGAUAUUAAUGAAGCUUGCGAUUUAAUAUCUUAGUGGCGGACGGGUGAGUAACGCGUGGGUAAUCUGCCCAUAAGUGGGGAACAACAGUUGGAAACGACUGCUAAUACCGCAUACGCUGUCACAAGACAGGAAAGGUGGCCUCUGAAUAUGCUGCCGCUUAUGGAUGAGCCCGCGUCUGAUUAGCUAGUUGGUGGGGUAAAGGCCUACCAAGGCCACGAUCAGUAGCCGGCCGGAGAGGGGGAACGGCCACACUGGGACUGGGACACGGCCCAGAAUCCUACGGGAGGCAGCAGUGGGGAAUAUUGCGCAAUGGGGGAAACCCUGACGCAGCGACGCCGCGUGAGCGAAGAAGGCCUUAGGGUUGUAAAGCUCUGUUUUAAGGGACGAAUGUUACAGGGAGUAAUAUGUCCUGUAAAUGACGGUACCUUAAGAGGAAGCCCCGGCUAACUACGUGCCAGCCGCCGCAGUAACAC